rnacentral:rRNA from 1 species
AGGACGACCAGCCACACUGGGACUGAGACACGGCCCAGACUCCUACGGGAGGCAGCAGUGGGGAAUCUUGCGCAAUGGGCGAAAGCCUGACGCAGCAACGCCGCGUGCGGGAUGAAGGCUCUCGGGUUGUAAACCGCUUUCAGCAGGAACGAAAUUGACGGUACCUGCAGAAGAAGCACCGGCCAACUACGUGCCAGCAGCCGCGGUAAUACGUAGGGUGCAAGCGUUGUCCGGAUUUAUUGGGCGUAAAGAGCUCGUAGGCGGCUUGGCAAGUCGGGUGUGAAAACUUCAGGCUCAACCUGGAGAUGCCACUCGAGACUGCUAUGGCUAGAGUCCGGUAGGGGACCACGGAAUUCCUGGUGUAGCGGUGAAAUGCGCAGAUAUCAGGAGGAACACCGGUGGCGAAGGCGGUGGUCUGGGCCGGCACUGACGCUGAGGAGCGAAAGCGUGGGUAGCAAACAGGAUUAGAUACCCUGGUAGUCCACGCCGUAAACGUUGGGU